CACGCGUCACGGUACGGCAGAUACCUGCUCAACCCCGCCAGGGCCGAAAGGCAGCAACGGUCGGUGGGUUCCUCUGGGUGUACCGUGGCGUCAUGCG
rnacentral:SRP_RNA from 1 species